rnacentral:rRNA from 1 species
UGAGGAAUUUUCUGCAAUGGGCGAAAGCCUGACAGAGCAAUACCGCGUGAGGGAUGAAGGCCUAUGGGUUGUAAACCUCUUUUCUCAAGGAGGAAGAUAUGACGUUACUUGAGGAAUAAGCAUCGGCUAACCCUGUGCCAGCAGCCGCGGUAAUACAGGUGAUGCAAGUGUUAUCCGGAAUUAUUGGGCGUAAAGCGUCUGCAGGUGGACUUUUAAGUCUUUUGUUAAACCUCUAGGCUUAACCUAGAAUCUGCAAAAGAAACUAUUUGUCUUGAGUAUGGUAGGGGUAAAGGGAAUUUCCAGUGGAAUGGUGAAAUAUUUUGAUAUUGGAAAGAACACCAACAGCGAAGGCACUUUACUGGGCCAGUACUGACACUGAGAGACGAAAGCUAGGGGAGCAAACGGG